rnacentral:lncRNA from 1 species
CCGCCAGAGAGCGCUGGAGUCGCUGCGUUGGCUCGUCCCUCCCUGGGGACGUCAGCAGGGGGCUCCGGAAGUGGCGGCGUUCGCCGUCCAUCAUGACUGCCUCAGGUCGGGCUGCGCGAGACCCCGAGGGGGGGGGGUCUUCGUUUCUUCGUUUCCGGGAAGCGCGGUGACCCGGGCGCGGCGCGGGAGUCGGGUCCCAGCGCGGCGCCGCGGCGUCCCCGGGCGCUUCCCGGCGGGCGCGCGGCCCACGCGGCAAGAUGGCGGCCGGGGAGGCGGCCCUCGGGGGCUCCGCCCGCGCUGGUGGGGCCGGGCCGGGCCGCGCCGCGGUGGGUUGGCCUUGGUGGCUCGUCGCGCCCCGUCGCGGGGCGUCUGGCUGCGUCCCCUCUCAGCUACCAGAGCCGCGGACAGCAGGGGACCUCUGUGGGCGCGGCCUGGCUUCCGGUUCUCCCGCCACGACACCAGGACGCGGAGGGGGACUUUCCCCGGGGACAUCUGCGACUCCCUGCGUUUAAAGCGGGGACGUACCGAUGGGGACGUGGGACGUGGAAGAUGUCACGCCCCGACGCGGUGUGGCCCCGGGGGAGGAACGAGGGGAGGGCGGUGCGCGGGUCCCCUCCUAGGGACAGGGCGGCCCGGGGAGGCCAUCGCCAUCAGGUGCUGACCACGGACCCCAGCCCCUCGGCCUGGCGCAGUCGGGAGCGCCAAGUGCCGUGCUGCUUGCUGUCACCUCUCAGUGCCACCUGUCCACGCCUAAACCCCCCCCCCUCGGGCCGGUGGCUCGUUUCUCCACCAGGAAAAUGGGUCCAUCCGAGGCGUCCCUCGGUUCCCGAAUAAAAGCUGUGCCGACCUGUGAGGGUUGUCCCUCGGCGGGUCCCUUGGUGCCCACGGGAACAGCUCCAAGGCUUACAGGACAGCGUAGCGCAGGGAGCUGGGCACAGAAGAUGCUGUCAUUUAUUUGCUCCUGGAGCUGGAACCCACGGCGGCUUGACCACUGGGCCACCUCCCCAGGCCUCUGUUUUUUUGUUGUUGUUGUUGUUGUUUUUUUGACUUUUGAUAAAUUGCUGAGGCUGGCCUCCAGCUUGGGAUCCUCCUGCCUCAGCCUCCCAAGUCGCUGGGAUUCGGGCAUGCGCCAUUGCGCCCUGAUCGUUCAUGUUAUUAAACAGUAAGACCCACGUAGGGCUGGGGCUCAGUGGUGGAGCGCUCACCUAGCACGUGUGAGGCACUGGGUUCCAUCCUCAGCGCCACAUGAAGGCAUCUAUGAGCUUUGUGUCGCAUACUAAGAAGAGGAAAGGGGGAUGGGAGGAAAUGGUACCAGGGAUUGAACUCGGGGGACACUCCACCCCUGAGCCCCAGCCCCAUCCCUGAUUUGUAUUUUACUUCGAGACAGCAGCUCCCUGAGUUGCUCAGGGCCUCGCCAAUGCUGAGGCUGGCUUUGAACUCACGAUCCUCCUGCCUCAGCCUCCCCAGCUGUUUGGAUUACAGGCCUGUGCCACUGGACCCGGCUUUCUUCCAAAAUAUUUGAAAAGAUGAAAUUCAGUUGGCAAGGAUAAAAGUUUCAAGGCCGCUCCUAUAGUGCUUGCUGCAAAGAACUGCAAAUUCCUAGCCUGAGCCCUCUGAGAAGCUAGAUGGAGUUAUUUGUGGGAAGAUAGAGGGUGGGCAAGAGAUUGAGCCUUGAAAAUAUUCAAGAUAUUUGUUGAUCAGAGGAAUGCUUUUCUGCUAGAAGUGCACAUAUUCUCAGUGACUUUUUCUGCUAGAAGUGCCCAUAUUGUAUCUUAGACUUUUAUGGUUAGUAUCAUGGGAACAGUAGUAGCAUUGAAUUAAACGAUUGAAUUAGAGUUUGAGCCAAGUCUUGCCUUGGAGUCAUCCAGAAAGGUAUUUCCAAUGCUUAAAAAAAUCAAAGCAGAGCUGGGGUUGUGGCUCAGGGCUAGGGUGCUCGCCUAGCAAGUGUGGGGCACUGGGUUCCAUCCUCAGCACCAAAUAAAAUAUUGUGUCCACUUAUAACUAAAAAAUAAAUAUGUUUUUAAAAACCAAAGCAGUUUCAGCAUUUAUUUUAUUUUCUUAUUUUUAUUUUUUGGUACUGGGGAUUGAACUCAGG